rnacentral:precursor_RNA from 15 species
ACUCAGGGCUCACCAUCCAGGGUCCCACCCAGGUCAGAUAUUCUGUCUUUCAGUGACGUUGUAAACCCUGGAACACAGGCUAUCCGACCUGGAAGUGUCCUUUGGCUAUCGACACUUUUCAG